ACUCUCGUUAAGGAACUCUGCAAGUUGACCCCGUAACUUCGGGAGAAGGGGUGCCACCCUGGUGAGGCGUUAUGCAUGUCCGAGCUGAGGGUGGCCGCAGAAACCAGGCCCAGGCGACUGUUUAAUAAAAACACAGGUCUCUGCUGAAGGCGUGAAGCCGACGUAUAGGGACUGACACCUGCCCGGUGCUGGAAGGUUAAGGGGAGAGGUUAGCCGCAAGGCGAAGCUUUGAACCGAAGCCCCAGUAAACGGCGGCCGUAACUAUAACGGUCCUAAGGUAGCGAAAUUCCUUGUCGGGUAAGUUCCGACCUGCACGAAUGGUGUAACGAUCUGGGCGCUGUCUCGACGGGAGACCCGGCGAAAUUGUGGAACUGGUCAAGACGCCAGUUGCCCGUGGUGGGACGGAAAGACCCCGUGGAGCUUUACUGUAUCCUGACAUUGGAUUUCGGCAAGGCAUGUACAGGAUAGGUGGGAGGCAUUGAGUCGAGGGCGUCAGCCUUCGAGGAGCCGACGUUGGGAUACCACCCUUGUUUUGCUGGGAUUCUAACCGCCAUGUCUGAAUCGGCAGGCGGGACCGUGUCAGGUGGGCAGUUUGACUGGGGCGGUCGCCUCCCAAAGAGUAACGGAGGCGCGCGAAGGUCACCUCAGGGCGAAUGGAAAUCGCCUAUUGAGCGUAAGGGUAUAAGGUGGCUUAACUGUGAGACUGACAGGUCGAGCAGAAACGAAAGUUGGUCCUAGUGAUCCGGUGGUCCUGAGUGGAAAGGCCAUCGCUCAUCGGAUAAAAGCUACCCCGGGGAUAACAGGCUGAUGCCGCCCGAGAGUUCCUAUCGACGGCGGCGUUUGGCACCUCGAUGUCGGCUCAUCGCAUCCUGGGGCUGAAGCAGGUCCCAAGGGUUGGUCUGUUCGCCCAUUAAAGCGGUACGUGAGCUGGGUUUAGAACGUCGUGAGACAGUUCGGUCCCUAUCCACCACGGGCGUAGGGGAUUUGAGGGGAUCUGCUCCUAGUACGAGAGGACCGGAGUGGACGAACCGCUAGUGUACCGGUUGUGGCGCCAGCUGCAUAAGCCGGGUAGCCAUGUUCGGAUCGGAUAACCGCUGAAGGCAUCUAAGCGGGAAGCCGGCCCCAAGAUGAGAUCACUCACUGAGUCAAUCAGGUAAGGCGUCCCGUAGACGACGGGAUUGAUAGGCCGGAGGUGUAAGCCCCGUGAGGGGUUGAGCUGACCGGUACUAAUAGGCCGAGGCCUUAACUCC
rnacentral:rRNA from 1 species